UGCGUUUGGCGGUGAGCAUCUUGAACAGCAUCCUGUGAAGGGAGCGGUUCAGAACGCGCAGGUCCAGGAUUGGCCGUAACCCACCGGUUUUCUUCGGGACAAUGAAGUAGGGGCUGUAGAAGCCGGACCUCAUUUCGCCUGGAGGGACAGUCUCGAUCGCACCCUUCGCCAGUAGGGUAGCAACCUCUGCUCUCAUGAUAGGGGCAUUGCCACCGACCAUAGUGGAGCAGACUCCCCUGAAGCAGGGAGGAGACCGCGUGAACUGAAUCGCGUAGCCGAGCCUGAUCGUCCGAGCGACCCAGCGGGACAGCAUGGCAGUCAUCUCGGGAUCAGACUCGACGAACGACUGCACACCCGAAGGAGGCAGCGCUGUCGAGUCUUCACUCGACGAAUCCUGCCCACCUUGUGAUGCAGCGACAGACAUCGCAUCAUCCUCUGUAGCACCAAAGGAAACUCGCGGGACAUCCGAAGAUGGGCCCGCUGGAAUCCCCUGGACACUAACGGGCACCGUCACUGGAGGGGUAGGUGCAGGGCACGGACAAAUAGUCGGCGCCUUGUUCCACACCGUCACCCUGGCCACCAGCCGAAGUACUAGCUCUAGGUUUAGAGGAAGUAGAUCGGGGUGUGGAUGAGGGGACUCUCACUCUUGCGAGAUCAUUGAGUCUCGACCGCAAUGACGCGAUGGUAAUCUUCCCACAGAGAGAACAUGAGUCAUCCACGAGCGCUGCUCUAGCGUGAUCAAUGCCCAAACACACUAGACAGCGCUCGUGCCCAUCAGAGUCAGACACGAGUCUGCCACAACCAGAAGUGCACGGGCUAGGCAUCUUUAAAAAGACGUGCCACGUGCAAGCUCUUUUAGAGAG